rnacentral:rRNA from 1 species
AUUGAACGCUGGCGGCAUGCUUUACACAUGCAAGUCGGACGGCAGCGGGGUAGUGCUUGCACUACUGCCGGCGAGUGGCGAACGGGUGAGUAAUAUAUUGGAACGUACCGAGUAAUGGGGGAUAACCAAUCGAAAGAUUGGCUAAUACCGCAUACGCUCUGAGGAGGAAAGCAGGGGACCUUCGGGCCUUGCGUUAUUCGAGCGGCCAAUAUCUGAUUAGCUAGUUGGUGGGGUAAAGGCCUACCAAGGCGACGAUCAGUAGCGGGUCUGAGAGGAUGAUCCGCCACACUGGGACUGAGACACGGCCCAGACUCCUACGGGAGGCAGCAGUGGGGAAUUUUGGACAAUGGGCGCAAGCCUGAUCCAGCCAUGCCGCGUGUCUGAAGAAGGCCUUCGGGUUGUAAAGGACUUUUGUUAGGGAAGAAAAAGGAGCGGUUAAUACCCGUUUCUGCUG